AAACUAACAAGGAUUCCCCUAGUAACGGCGAGUGAAGAGGGAAGAGCCCAAGAUUGAAAGCUGGCGCCUUCGGCGUCCGCAUUGUAAUCUCAAGAAGUGUUUUCCGCUUCGGACCAUGCCUAAGUCCCUUGGAAAAGGGCAUCAUAGAGGGUGAUAAUCCCGUACAUGGCAUGGAGCGCCCGAAGCUUUGUGAUACGCUUUCUAAGAGUCGAGUUGUUUGGGAAUGCAGCUCAAAAUGGGUGGUAAAUGCCAUCUAAGGCUAAAUAUUGGGGAGAGACCGAUAGCGAACAAGUACAGUGAUGGAAAGAUGAAAAGAACUUUGAAAAGAGAGUUAAACAGUACGUGAAAUUGCCAAAAGGGAAGGGUAGGAGGUCAGAGAUGCGUCGCAGGAUUCAGCCUUGCUUUUGCUUGGUGUUUUUCCUGCGUUGCAGGCCAACGUCGGUUUUGGGCACUGGAGAAGGGUAGGAGGAACGUGGCACCUCUCGGGGUGUGUUAUAGCCUCCUACUGGAUACAGCGACCGAGACCGAGGAACGCAGCGUACUCGUAAGAGCGGGCCUUUUGGCACCUUUACGCUUAGGGCGUUGGCAUAAUGGCCCUCUACCAC
rnacentral:rRNA from 1 species